GGAGGUGGGGCUCGAUCCCAGGACCCCGAGAUCAUGACCCAAGCCGAAGGCAGAGGCUUAACCCACUGAGCCACCCAGGUCCCUCCCGAAGCUGUACGCUCAGUCGAAGAGGACGACCUUCCCUGAUAGAGGAGAGGACCGUUCUUCGGUCAAGGGUAUACGAGUAGCUACGCUCCCCUGUUAGAACCUCCAAACAAGCUCUCAAUUGUAUUUUUUUUUAACUUAAGAUUUUAUUUAUUUAUUUGACAGAGACACAGCAAGAGAAGGAACACAAGC
rnacentral:snRNA from 1 species